rnacentral:rRNA from 1 species
UGUUUCCCAUUAAUCAAGAACGAAAGUUAGAGGAUCAAAGCGAUCAGAUACCGCCCUAGUUCUAACCAUAAACGAUGCCAGCCAGCGAUCCGGCUGUGUUCCUCAAAUGACACGCCGGGCAGCUUCCGGGAAACCAAAGCUUUUGGGUUCCGGGGGAAGUAUGGUUGCAAAGCUGAAACUUAAAGGAAUUGACGGAAGCGCACCACCAGGAAUGGAGCCUGCGGCUUAAUUUGACUCAACACGGGAAAGCUUACCCGGAUAGGACACAGGAAGGAUUGACAGAUUAAGAGCUCUUUCUUGAUUCUGUGGAAGGUGGUGCAUGGCCAUUCUUAGUUGGUGGAGUGAUUUGUCUGGUUAAUUCCGAUAACGAUCGAGACUCUAGCCUACUAAAUAGACGUUCCGAUUCUUGUUGUCGGACGUUCUUCUUAGAGGGACACGCGGCGUUUAGCCGCACGAGACAGAGCAAUAGUAGGUCUGUGAUGCCCUUAGAUGUCCGGGGCCGCACGCGCGCUACAUUGAAGGACUCAGCGUGUGCUUUCCCUGUCCGACAGGACUGGGUAACCCGUUGAACCUCCUUCGUGCUUGGGAUAGGCGAUUGUAAUUGUCCGCCUUGAACGAGGAAUUCCCAGUAAGCACGAGUCAUCAGCUCGUGUUGAUUACGUCCCUGCGCUUUGUGCACACCGCCCGUCGCUACAUCCGAUGGAAUGAUUUAGUGAGGUCUUCGGACUGGCGCUCGGAUUGGCCUUCGGGUCGAGCCGAAGUGCCGGAAAGAUGACCGAACUUGAUU